rnacentral:rRNA from 1 species
GAUGAACGCUGGCGGCGUGCCUAAUACAUGCCAGUCGAGCGAACGGACGAGAAGCUUGCUUCUCUGAUGUUAGCGGCGGACGGGUGAGUAACACGUGGAUAACCUACCUAUAAGACUGGGAUAACUUCGGGAAACCGGAGCUAAUACCGGAUAAUAUUUUGAACCGCAUGGUUCAAAAGUGAAAGACGGUCUUGCUGUCACUUAUAGAUGGAUCCGCGCUGCAUUAGCUAGUUGGUAAGGUAACGGCUUACCAAGGCAACGAUGCAUAGCCGACCUGAGAGGGUGAUCGGCCACACUGGAACUGAGACACGGUCCAGACUCCUACGGGAGGCAGCAGUAGGGAAUCUUCCGCAAUGGGCGAAAGCCUGACGGAGCAACGCCGCGUGAGUGAUGAAGGUCUUCGGAUCGUAAAACUCUGUUAUUAGGGAAGAACAUAUGUGUAAGUUACUGUGCACAUCUUGACGGUACCUAAUCAGAAAGCCACGGCUAACUACGUG